rnacentral:rRNA from 1 species
AGUGAACGCUGGCGGUAGGCCUAACACAUGCAAGUCGAACGGCAGCACAGUAAGAGCUUGCUUUUACGGGUGGCGAGUGGCGGACGGGUGAGGAAUACAUCGGAAUCUACUUUUUCGUGGGGGAUAACGUAGGGAAACUUACGCUAAUACCGCAUACGACCUACGGGUGAAAGCAGGGGAUCUUCGGACCUUGCGCGAUUGAAUGAGCCGAUGUCGGAUUAGCUAGUUGGCGGGGUAAAGGCCCACCAAGGCGACGAUCCGUAGCUGGUCUGAGGGGAUGAUCAGCCAACUUGGAUCCGAGACACGGGCCAGAAUCAUACGGGGGGCAGCAGUGGGAAAUUUUGGCCAAUGGGGGAAAGCCUGAGCCGGCCAAACGCCGGGGGGGAAGAAGGCCUUCGGGUUGUAAAGCCCUUUUGUUGGGAAAGAAAAGGAGAAGUUUAAUCCCCCGCGUUUUGGACGGGCCCCAAAGAAUAAGCCCCGGCUAACUUCGG